AGGGCACCACCAGGAGUGGAGCCUGCGGCUUAAUUUGACUCAACACGGGAAAACUUACCUGGUCCUGACACUGGAAGGAUUGACAGAUUGAUAGCUCUUUCUUGAUUUGGUGGAUGGUGGUGCAUGGCCGUUCUUAGUUGGUGGAGUGAUUUGUCUGGUUAAUUCCGAUAACGAACGAGACUCUAGCCUAUUAAAUAACACACAGAAUCUUGUCUUCUGUGGCGUUUCUUAAUGGGAUCAAGUGUGUUUAACGCUUUGAAACAGAGCAAUAACAGGUCUGUGAUGCCCUUAGAUGUUCGGGGCCGCACGCGCGCUACAUUGAGAGACAAAAUGAGUUCUCUAGUCUUUAAUAAGGCUAGUAAUCUUUGAACGUUUUUCUUAAUGGGGAUAGGGGAUUGCAAUUGUGCCCCUUGAACGAGGAAUUCCCAGUAAGUGCUAGUCAUUAGCUAGUACUGAUUACGUCCCUGCCCUUUGUACACACCGCCCGUCGCUACUACCGAUUGAAUGGUUUAGUGAGAU
rnacentral:rRNA from 1 species